AAGGGUUUAGGGUUUAUCCAAAGGUUUAGGGUUUAAGUUUUAGUGUUUUGCUCACAACGUUAAAAAUAUUUUUUUAUAAUUCUUUUUUUGUAACUACUAUUAUUUUUUAUUUAUUUUUACUUUUUUUUUAUUUAAAAACAUAAUAUAACUUGACAAUAUUUUGUUUCAUUUUUUUAAAUAUAUUGAAUAUAAAAUAACGAAAUCCUAUUGAUUUAUGAAUCUAGAGAUUUAUCCUAUGGUGAAUCCAAGAAUAACUCGUAUAACAAUAUAUCAUCGUCCAUGUGCAUGAGAAUCUUGUUCACAUACAAAAUAAACUCAUCUUCCCUGUGGCUUUCCGAUUCAAACGUCACUAAGGAAGAAAUUCGACCGAAAAGAAAGUUAAAUAUUAAAAGUUGCAACUUGAUAUGAAAAUUUAAUUUAUGAUUUUGAAGCCGUAUUAGAUCUCAUAUUAUUUUGAAAAUUUUAGAACAUCCAUUUUCGAAAUUGUAAAACGAUAUAAGUUUUUAGUUUUUUACCAAAAAAAUAUGAUAAGUUCCACUGUCAUGACUCAUGCUAGACGACAAAAAAGAAAAGCUCAUCGAAAUAAUUGUUGUGAACAAGCCUGAAAUCAUGAAUGGCUCUAUAGUAUUCUUGUUCUGCUGAAAACCAGUGUAGCUAAUCGAGUUAGAUCGAUGAUAUCGUAGGAUUAAAUUCAUGCAGGCCAUGUCACUUGUCAACCCUCCAUAAUAUAACUGAUUCUGAAACCAACAAUAUAUAUAUAUAUAUAUAUAUAUAUAUGAUUAUGCGUUUUUACUUAUUUUGUAAUAAAAUCAUCGUGUUUUUUUUUCCAGAAUUUAAAAAGGUUAGACAUGUUUAAGAGCAUCUUCAACAACUCUUUAUCACCUAUUUUUCGAAGGAUCACCAUCAAAUUUGAAGGUAUAUUAAUCACCUUUUCAGAAUACUUUUCACACCCUCAAAAUAGUAUUCACCUUUCAAUUUAAUCUUUAUAAUUAUAUAUGUUUCACAAUCGCACAAAUAACUUUUUAUAUAUCAUAUUUUAAUACUUAUCGAAUAAAAAAAUAUGUUAUUAACAUUUUUUAUACAACUUAUAAGUUAUAUUUAACUACUUAUUAUUAUAUUUUGUCAUAAAUAUUUUAUUUUAAAAUUUUCAAAUAGUAAAUUUUAUUUUAUAUUUAUUUUCAAAUCAUAAAUAUAAGUUAUAUCCUCUGAUUUUAAAGGUGUUUUCCCUUCAAAAUGAGGAUGCAUGUUCUAACAACAAUCUAACAAGAUUGUUGGGCAGUUUGUAUUAUAACAUCUCCAAAAAAAAACUAAAUAAUUUCAAAUGUAGAAUUUUUUUCUCUUUAAAAUUAACUUCAAAAUUAUUUUGAAUUUUGAGAAGUGAACCUACUAAAAACUUCAAAUUUCAAGUUUCAUGGGUUUUUUUUUUGCAUUUUGGUCCUUAUAACUAUUUAUACAUCAUAUUUAUGAUUGUUAAGUAUUUUUUUCGUUUUUCGUUUUAAUCUUUAAAAAAAAAAUAUUUCAAAUUUGGUUUUCUAAAUUCAAAUUUUACACAUAAAAUUAAAUAAAAAAUUUAAAACGUAGAAUAUUUUAAAAUUAUAGAAUACAACAAGAAUAUUACAAUAGAAACUUAAUAAAAAACUUUAAAAAAGAUAUAUGAAGACGAAAUUAUUAAACAAAUUUAAAUAUUACAACAACAAUAAUAGUCUAGUAAAUUUGCUCUCGGACCUCCAAAAUCUCUAAAAUAUUGUCUAAACAAAUUGUAACCGAAGAUGGAGCAUUACAUAAAUAUUUUUUUGGAAUAAUGUAGUAUUGUGCUUAUAGUUUAAUAUUUGAUUAUUUAUUUUUAUUUAUAAUAAUUAUUUUAGAGUAAUAUUUUAUUAAUUAAUAUUAUUGUAAUAUUUUAUAUAUCUGCUACAUAUUUAUAAUGGUUAUAUGGAUUUAUAUUAAUUAUGAAAAAUAUAAAGACUAUAGUGUAAAAUAUAAAUAAUUUUAAAAUUUUGCUUUUGAAGAAAAACAACUUGAAUCUUCAAAUAUAUAUUUUUGCAAACUUCAAAAUAUAUAGAGUAUUAGAUUCUUAGUGUCGUGACGGCGACAUUGUGCCUGAGUCUAUUUAAGCCCGACAAUAAAACAAAAUUAUAUAAUAUUAUAAAAGGAGAAUUGGGCUGUAUAACCUUCAAAUAAAUUAUAAUUCAUUAGAUAACUAAAACCCCUAACUUUCAUCUACAAUAUAUGUCUUUUAUGUAAUAAUGCUAUAUUACCCUUCAAUUCAACAUGUGUAACCUACUGAGAAUUAUUUAUUAAAAUAAAUAUUAAAUAAAUAAUUUAAUAAAAUUGUGGUUAUCAUUGGUGCACACUAACAAUCUCUGUUUCUUUUUCAUACAUACGAACAAAAACUACUUCAUCUCAAGACGAAGAAAGAGCAUGGAUUUUGAGCUUGUGGAAUUGCGUUUGGAGGAGAAGAUGACACAAUAGAGAACGACGAGGUGACUUCACGAUUUCUUUUUUUGAGUUUCUUUAACGUUGUUGAUCUUGAUUUUUUUGUUGUUAUUUAAAUUGUUAUAGUAUGCUGUAUUGAUAUGGUAUGGUGAAGAAUAAUUACUCUGGACUAGUGAAUGCGUGUAUCACCAUGUCUGCAAAAAGAGGAAGAUGUGAAAAGAUGAACUCGCCGACUAUACUAUAUGUAACGAAAGAAAAUUAUAGUCUAGUACGAUUCUUAUAUUUUUGUACCAUUCGCAAGUAUCAAACUAAAAUAGUAUGCUACGGUUCUUGUAUUAUUGUACCAUUCACAAGAAAUGGAAUAACACUUACAUCUCUACGUUCACUUACAUUGACUAACAUAUAUAUAUUUCUUGUUACUCUAUACAUAACACCUACACAUAUACAAUUAGUAUUACUAUCAAUUUCUAGUUUACAAUUAUAUGUACUAUACUAUGUAUUUUGUUUUAUACUAUUUGGGUUUAGAGUUUAUACUUGGAUUUAGGGUUUAGUGAUUAAGAUUUAGGGUUUAGGAUUUGGAAGGUGGAGGUUGAGGUUUGGGGUUAGUGACCGCAUUAUGUAUGUUCCAUUUGACGAUUAAUAAAGAGUGUUCUAUUUUGCUCACCAUUUUGUACUAUACUAUGUAUAUUGUUUCAUUCUAUUUGGGUUUAUAGUCUAUACUUGGAUUUAAGGUUUAGUGAUUAGGAUUUAGGGUUUAGUAUUUGGAAGGUGGGGGUUUAGGUUUGGAUUUAGUGAUAGCAUUUUUGGGUUUAGUAUUCAUAAGUUAGGUCUGAAUUUAGCAUUGAGGAGUUGUGUGUUGGAUUGGAUUUAGUUUAAUAUUACGUAAUAUUAUAUACUAAUUAAAGAUUUUAAUAAUUGGGUUUAAAGUUUAUAUUUGGGUUUAGGGUUCAGUAAUAAGGGUUUAGGAUUUAGUAUUUAGAUGGAAGGGUGAUGUUAAGAGUUUAGGGUUUAGUAUUUAGGGGUUGAAGUUUGGAGUAAAGUUUAAUAUUUACUAGAUGUGAGUGGAUUUGGAAUCCUAUUAUAUUUCAGUGAUAUAAUAUAGAAAAAUUGGAUGCAUAUUUAUGUGCUAAACAAACGUGUGGUGUUGGUUGUAUUACAUGUGAUAAUCAAUGGUGGAAUGUCAAAUUGUUGAUGCCAUCAAUUUUUUUUUCUCGAAUACCGGCAACUUGAACAAAAAAGGAUAGUACUGGAUAAAACUUGACAUAAUUGUUAUGAAAUUAAUAAUGUCAAAAUCAAUGGUUUGCACUUAAUUUUCUUUUCAAGCUUGGCCAUUUCGCAAAUUCUCGCUAUUAUACAAAGUAACAUUUGAGAAAAUAGUCAUUUAAAAUUCCCGCGAAAAGUGACAUAACAGAAACCUUCCUUAAUUAAGGACAAAAUCAUGAUUAGUACUCGUUCCUCCGACAUUAGAAAAACUAUAAUAAAUGGUUUGUGUCAUUCUGAUCCUCCUGGUUAUAAUUUUCUCCACAUUCUAGAAGCUCUUCCAAUAAACUAUCGUCUAAAUAAUCAAACUCAAUGACUUCUUUCAUGUUACCACCGUCUGUUCCACUAAACUGGGACGACGAAGAAGCCACCACAUUCUCGCUGGCGCCACUUGGAUCGUCUGUCAUCAUUGGGUAUUCGUGAGGCCCGAGCCGCGUCUUCCGCAGUGUCAAACGUUCCAAGCCAGAUCGCAUCAUGUCUGGCGAGUCCUGUAUCUCCGCCGCAUAUUUUCCCCACGGACGCUUCCUUACACCUCUGUAUUUCACCUCAUUCGUGUUAGACACUUUAUGUUCCAUAAGUUAAGCUUUUAAGUUAUAUUUUAUGCAUGUACAUGUGUUGAUACUUGAUAGUAGUGAGAGUUUAUUUAUACGUGGAGGUAAUGCUGACUAUUGAGAAUGUAGUGGAACUUAUUUUAAAGCACGUGCGGGUAGUCAAAAGCAUCCUUAUUUUAUUGAAUAAACCAUUUGAUCAUGGAGUAGUUUGCAUCCUAAAAGGCUAAAAAUGUAUGCGGAGUAGUUUGCAUCCUAAAAAUGUAUGCGUACCAUUGUCAUAGUAAAUAAAUGAUUGGGAUUGGCAAAUAUAUGGAAAGAAUAGUGGCAGCCUGCGUUUAGUGCAAUUUCUAAUUAUUCGAGGGGCUAAGACAAAAGUAUUGAACUUGUGAGUGAAGUCCAAUGAAUCUGGAUGGUCAAGGUGACGGGCCUGACGGCUAAGUUGAAAAAAUGUAUUUUGUGACAACGGACAAAAUUUGAUUUCAGCCUCACACUUUUCUCGGUCAAGAGAUUCUUUUUGAAAAAAAAUUAAAAUAGUAUUAUCACGUGCAAACUCUGACAGCAUGUGUGAUCAGAGGCGGACCCAUGUGUUAGGAAGGGGUGUCAGCUGCCGCAUGUUAAAUUUAAAUGUUAAGGAGUUUUUUUUUUUUUGUUAAGGAGUUUUUUCAUUGUACAAGAAGAAAAUAUAGCUUAAUUGGCGAAAGUUCUCUCUCUUGCAACCCCUUUCCAGAGUAAAAACCCAGCAGAUGUAAACAUUUUACUUAUUUUUAUAACAAAAAAAUUAUGCUGGUCUGAGCCCAACCUUUUGACACCCCAAAAAAAGAGGUCGGGUCCGCUACUACGUGCGAUAGAUUCUAGUUUUUGAAAUUUCAACUUGACCCCAAGUAAAAAAGAAAACAUAUAAUCUUUAUGGCGAAAUUCGGUCUUUCGGUGGACGGCAUCAAUCACCGGUAGUUUAUUUGGGUUUCAACUAGAAAAGUGAAAAGGAAUAUGGUUCCCGCCAUUAUAAUAAUGGCGAGACAAGGUUUAGCACUGGUGUAUCCUAUAUGUAUACUAGUUAAUUCGUUCCUAGAAGGUUGGAGAAGGGAUAGUAGUAUACAAAGUUCCUAUAGCUUCAUGCCGAAAGUAUAGACUAUUUUGUUUGAUAUGAUUGACCGUUCGAAUAGGGAGAUAGAUAAAAGAAACGUAAGAAUUGGAUAACUCCAGUGGGCAAGAACUCCUGACUCUGGGGAGACGCCCUCUUCCUAGCGAGUGAAUGAAUGAGCUCACUCCUUUCAUUCCUGUCAUUAUAAGAGCCACUCUUGAACCUUAACGACGACGUCAACCCCGAGGAACGCCAAUUACUUGACUAAUAGGAGAGGAACGCCUGGCUUGCUCAUGAACAACUAAGUUUGCAUAGGCUCGUGCACUGAUUUACGUUCAAGAAUCCCCGCCUUUGCCUCAGACAGAAAAAGAACAAAAGUACUACCGGGAAGGGAAGCCCGUUCCCGUGUAUCAGGUGCGAGUGUAACGAGAACCGACGCCAGAGCUCUCAGUGGUUUGUGGACUCGAACCACAAUCAGGUCUGAUGGUUGGCGUCCAGUGUAACGAACACCAAUCUCUUUUUAAAAUAAAAAUAAUUUAUAACCCUUACACUUCAGUGGGAAUAAGUCUUUCUCUUUUUUUUUCGGAAGGAGAAAAAGAUGGUUCAUUUGGUUCCCUUACGAAAUGCAUAAAAAGGUGUGUGAAUCUUUUUAAUAAAAAAAUAACAGAUUAUAUACAUAAUCAUAUGCUACCUAGUAUUUAGGGUGUGACUGGUGGAUUGCAGAGUAAUAAGCAUAAUGAAAGUGGAGUACUUAAAAGGAAAUAGUAGAGUAAUAAAGGCUAGAAAAAAUAAAUAUUCGGGUAAUUGAUUUUUCACUCCAAAGACAGUGAGAGUAUAAAGUGAACUUUUUACUUAUAAUAAUUAAACAGUACUUGGCGUAUCUGCUUGGCAAAUAUAAGUGAAACUGAGAGAAAAAAAAUUUGGCUAAAAGAUUCUCAAUAUACAUGCUAUUAAGGUUGCGACUGGUGAAUGAAAAGCGGUGCAUAUUUGUUUACAUGGAAUGAAAAUUUAAAAAGUCACCAAUCACAAAAACAGUAAAAAAAGGGGGAUGGAAUUCUUAAAACAACGCACUUAACAAACCAAAAAAAAAAAUUUUUUUGUUUGUUCACAUUUUUACAAUACCACACCUACAGUAGUUAACGUGUGUUUUUCAUGGUUACUUUCUUUUUUACAUUUUUCCUUUAUAACUAUAUAAAAUAUUUGGUUGUGAAUUUUCAUAUCCAAAUAUUUCAAUUAAACAGAAAAUUGUGCAAUUGAAUUAUCAGAAUAAAAUUUAUUUAUUUAUUUAAAAAUGUUAAUUAUGUUAAGGCAAACAUAUAUAAGUGCAUAUGAGUGUGAUAUAUAUGUGUUUUCUUAUAAUCAACUAUUAAUAACUAUUGUUAAAUUUAGAUACUUAAACUUUUGUUAAAAUCAUACAUGAUAAUAUUUCCGUUAUAUAGUUAUUCAAAAUAGUUAAUUAAAAUGAAAAAAUAAAAAUAAUAAUCAUACCAAAUUUAUUAAAUAUAAGAAUAGAUAACCAUGUGCACAUUUAUCCAGAACUGAAAAUUUGAACCAAACCAAACCUCUUUUCUUGGUUCUGUUUGGAUCCUAUCAAUUACCCAAACAAAUCGUAUAUCUCUAGAACUCAAGAAUCAUAACCAAAUUUUAUAUUCUAUAUUAAUUUUGAUAUUAUGUAGCAAAACCGUAAAAUAUUUUUCAGCAAUCAAACAUUAUUUUGUAUCGCUUAUUUUAUCAGAAUUGCACUUAUCAAAUGCAUUUCACUAAAAGACAUUUUUAUUUUAAAAUAUAUUUAUUAUAUGAAUAUAUUACUAUAUUAUUUUAAUAUAUUCUAUAAUAUAUACCAUUAUUAUUUUAUUUUGUUAAAUAAUUAUUAAAUACUGCAAAUAUGCAUUAUCAUCAAUCAAACAAUAUUCCGCGUUGCUUUUUACUUAAAACCACAGUUGCACCAUCCCACGCUUUAAUUCUGCACCGUUUUUAUUAUCAAAUCCACUGUCACCAUUCAGAGUCUAAGUCAUACUUUAAAUAGAACUUACAAUAUUUGGCAUGAUUACUGUUAUUUGUGUUCUUCAACCAAAGUUCAAAAGUAACAAAUAUUGUAAACCAUAUACACUCUCUGUUUUCUAUUGUAGGUUGUUUUAACAAAGAAAACUUGUUUCACAAUAUAAAUAGUUUACAUAUUUUAAUACACAUUUUCAUUUAGUGGAUAAUGUGUGACUAUUUAAAUAAUAUUAAAUUUUUAAUUGGUUGAAUUUAUUGAUUAAAUGAUAUUUUUUUUUAAAAUAACAACUUUCUUACUAUUAGUGUUUUUAGGUAAAAUUAUUUGUAUUUUAAAAUAGAGGAAGUAUAAUCUUGAACGCAUUGUGAUAUAUGACCGAGGGUGAUUUUUUCUGUAUUAAGAAGAUAAAUAAAACUUAUACUAGAUUAUGAUCCGCGUUAAAAUGCAGGUUAUGUUUUAUUUUGUUUAAUUUAUAAAGUCAGAAAAAUAAAAUUAUUGUGAAUAUUAAACUGUUAGAUUAGAUGUUUGGACUUGUGUUACCAAUGUAGCGAUCAGAUAUAUAUCUGAUUUUAUUACUUAUGUAAUGAACGUAAGACUAUAUGAUACUGAGUAGAACUAGAUUAAUAACAUAUAAAUGCACUUUAUUGAUUAGAAAUAUUAUUUCUUAAACUUAUAUUUUCUGUAGUUGUUAAGAUCCAAUUUUUUAAGUGGCUUAUCUUAUUAUUUUAAUUAAGUCUGUAUAGUAAUGAUAAUUUUUGAAACUUUUUGAUCAUUUUCAAUUGGAGAAAAAUUAUAUGCUUUAUAUUUAUUUUUUAUAUACGUAAAAUAUCUAAAAUUUUGUUAUGCUAAAAUUUUCAAAAGCGUUAACUUUCCACUAUCUAUAUAAUUUGUAACUUCUUAAAACCUAUAUAUAUAUAUAUAUAUAUAUGAAUAUAUUUCUAGGAUUCAUUGUAUUCAAAAAUUAUAGGAAAAAUUCUUAACCAAAAUUUAGAUAUAUCCUUAAUAUUAAUGUAAAUGAUAGUUUUGCAUUUAUUUAUAGCUAAUAUUAAUAUUAAUGUUUAACAAAACAAUUAGACCAUUGUAAUAUCAUGUAUAUAUAUAUAUAUAUGAUAUUUUAUCGAGAGUUGUUUUUAUCUUCAAAUAAAAUAAAAUAGAAAAUGGUUUGAUGAUUAUGCAUAGUAAUAUGUAUGAUGAAAUUGUGCAUAAUUGUACUGCAUACAUAAAUAUUGAUUUAUGUUAUGCAAAAAGUGUGUUUUGCUCUUGUAUAUAAAUUGUUUUACUUUUCUUAAUCAUUUAAACGAUUGGUUGUAUAGUAGUUUGUAUAAUAAGAAAAUUGUAGAUGAGUUAUAUUAUUUGGUUAAUAAACCAAUCUAUAAUGUGUAAGUUAAUUAAUAUUGGUUAAUAUGAUAUACGAUACGACCAGGUACAUGACUCAACUAAAAUUUUGGUUUUUACAAAAGCCCUGUUCGGUAAAGAACCGCAGCCUCAGCAUCAAGCGUUCACAAUAAUGCCUAAUUAUACGUUUUUUGAGGCUUAAGGAUGUGGAGAAUAAAUGGCAGCGACAUCCGCGUUUGACCACGAAGGCAAUUCCAAUGAACGCUGUUUUUUCAGCGUCACUAACAUCACCGGCAACACUCCGUAAAAUAAUCGCAGCGUCACAAACUUAAAAAAUGAUGGCUUUAAUUACAAAAUUUCCUUCAUGUUUGUUAGCCGCAAGCGUCAAGAAAAAGAACAUGCCUAAAGUAUAGAGUUAUUAUUUUCAUAGUUUUACUUUUAUAUAACAAUAAUUAUAUGAAUGUUUUUUAACAAAAACAAAAUUGUGUAUGAAUUGAUAUAUUAGGUGUGCUCAACAUUUAUUGUACACACAAAUUAUCUUCAAUGGAUUGUUUUUAGAAAAUAAAUAAAAGUCAUAGGUAGUAUAAAAUGAAAUGAAAAUAUCUAGGUUUUUUUUAAUAUUUGAGUAUUGAAAAUAUAAGAUGACUAAAGAUAGUGUAAAAUAUUUAAUACCUUUAGAUUUUUGUUAAGAUUUUGAGGAAUAAAUUAUUUGAUUAUUGUUAUUAUCGUUUCUUUAGGUUUGCGUUUUUUGAAAAAAACUACGUGAUUCCAAAGAAUCGUUUAUUUUUUUUUUGUUAGGAUAAUGUUAGGAAAUGAUUUAGUUGUUUUAGAUAAUAUUGUUAGAAUUUUUAAACUAUAGGAAGAUGACAUACAAAUCGUUUCUCUUUUUUUUUUUGUUAGCUUGACGUUAGGAAGUUUGUUCUAGUUAAGAUUUUAGAAUCUAAAUUUUAAAAACAUUAAUUAUGUAAAUUUCAUAUGGAAAUGUUUAAUUUAUAGAAUGGAUAGAUUUAAAUUAACUUAAUGAUUUAAAGUACUGGAAUGGAUUUAACUUUCUUAUGGAAACGUUUGUCACAUUCUAUUUCAUAUGAAAAAAUUGGUAUACGAAGUAAUAUUUCCUAUUCCAAUACGCAAAUCGUUUGUAUAUAUAUGAAGUAAUAUUAUUCGUUCUAAUGAGGAUUUUCACAACUUCCAGAGAUUUAAACAUGGCGAUAAUGAGGAUAAAGAAGAAACAAAUGAAAAGUGUGUAUACAUAUUGUGUAAAUAUUUGUAUAAUAUAAUACAUUGGAAAUAAUCAUUCGAUACAUUUGUAUUAAUGGACUGUCGAAUAAUGAAAUAUAAUUUACUCAUGCUUGAACAUAUGAAGGUGUAGAUUUCAUUAUGAGUAGUAGUCAACGAUUUUUUUUAUUAGAGGGGGAAAUUAUUUUGUAUUGUUAAUGUAAUAGCAAUGAAUGUUAUAUUUUUUUAAUGAAAUAUGAAUAUAUCCAAUCUUAAAUGACAAUUAAGUAGAUAAAAGUAUGACUCUAAAUUAAUAGAGUAGAUAUUUUCAGUUUUCAAAUCUAUACUAUACUAAAAUCGGGAUAUCAAGCCCCCUGAACACGUCCACGUCGGAUUGGAAAUUCAGGCCAAUCAGAAAUUGACUUUAUGCCACGUCACUUAUAUCAUGGGUCUGAACCGGACCAAUAUUUAUGUAUUUGAGAGGGUCCCAUUUUGAGAUCCAUCGUCAAAAGAGAGGUUAUGUAUCAACAAAUGUAAAAGUUUCAAAGAUGUGAGAAAACAAAACUAUAGGUGAAACAAGCUUUACCUGCUCAAAAACUGUAUCCAUGGAAGAAUUUCUUGGAAAAGAUAAAUCUGCCAAAAUAUUCAUUAAUGUCAUGUAAGAUUAUUAUGAUCUGUAGACAGAUGCAUAGGCAAGUCAAGAAGCAAGUAGAGAAAUCCUAUCAAGAGAAACAUGAUUUAACAGGUUCUGAAAAAUACUAUUUAAAAGUCUCAAGUGAAUAACACACCGUACAUGUGUUCCCUCAAGCUAAAAAAAUACUAAACAAGCUGAACUUAUUUUACCUGAGGCCGGCUGCAUCGUCUGUGUCCGAAAGCUGUCCAAAGGGGAACCUUGAGAUGAUAAAAAAUCAGAUUUGAUGUCAGACACAUCGUUCCGGCUAAUCCCAUCAGACAACCAACUGAGAGAGGCUUCUUCACCAGCUACACGGCCUCUAUUAUGAUUAUCCCAGCGAAAACUCCAAGUAGGAGAAUGCCUCCUCUCAGCAGCUGAUGAUGAGUUAGGCAGGAGGACCAUUUUGUCACGAGGAGCAACACACCACGCGUUCCCCAUUACCUUGAAGACGAGAAUAACGAGGGAGUGUAGCACAACUUUAUCCAAACUAUUUUUGAACUCUCUGUUCUUGCAUUUUUUUAUAUAUAAUGAAUAAUAACUUGUGAAGUUAGGGUAUUUCCUCCCACGCAUGUGUUGUGUUUUCGUAAUUAUAAAGUUAGGUUUUAAAAUUUUUAAUACAUAAAAAACUAUAUUACGUCUUAUAUUGUGAUCUACACCUAUUUACAUUACACUCUAUUUGUGUCAUUUACUGUAUUGCCGACGAUGGGAUGAAUAAAAAAAGCAUAGCGGAUCAUUAACUUGGAUCACAGUACAACAAUAUUGAUCUCGAUAUCUUUUUCUUCGAGUUAUUAAUUUACAAAAAAAAUUCUUUUUUAGAAUAAUAUAUUUUCUGUUUAAAAGGUAUUUGAUUUUAAGAUAUAUGAAUGGUUGAUUAAUUGUUAAUAGAUAAAACUUUUUAUGUUACUAUUGUUCAACUAUAAGGUGUAUAGAAAAUAUUACCAUAAAUGUAUAUGCAUUUUAAGUAUAAAAUGACAAAAUAACAUUUCAAUAUUUUUAAAUACUUAUAAAAUUUAAAGGUAAACUUCAAUAUGAAUAAAAUACAGGCAAACUAGACAAUAUAUUACUAUAUUUAUAUAAAUUUAUAUGCACUGGUUAUUAAUUUAUGUUUUUACUGGGACUAUAUAUUUACAUAAGAAAAUUCAAAAAAUUAUUAUUUUAUUAUUUUAUCGAAUUGUGUCAUAUUUUAUACUGACCCAAUUCAGAACUGGUGGAGUUUAUUAAUUUUUUUCAUUUAUUAAUUUAUCGAAUAUUAACUUAUAGAGUUUCUACUGUAUGGGUUCAAAAAACUUCUUGGAUAAAGCUAUUUUUAUUUUUUUAUUAAUAUAUGAAGUAAAAGUAUUAUCAAACUUAAAAAUUCCAAAUUUUAAACCGGAUAGCAUACUACAGAUAUUAGAAUAUAAAAGUUUAUCUUUUUAUUUAAUAAUAUUACAUAUAAAAUAGAUGAAAUUUAUAUAUUUUUAAAACAGUCUUCUAUUGAUUAGUUCAGAAAUAACCAUUUGCACUUUUAAUCAUGCUCGAACUGCAACAAUGUGAAUUCAGGAUUGCUUAGAACAAAUAAAACAAAUAGAAGCAUUGAUUAGUGUUACAAAAAUUUACAUACUGUUUAUGUUUAAAAAAAAAAGGCUUUACAAACCCCUUAAACUCUUAUUGAAGAGGAAACAAAUAUGGUAACAAAAUGGGAAAAGCUCCAGAUUAUACCUACAAACUUAUUACUCUUUGCAUGUAUGUAUUAUACUACUUCUCAAAAACAUAAUUCUAAAUAAAUAAAAUUUCCAGCAAAGAUAUAAGUUAAGUUUAUUCAACUUUCAGUUUAAUUAAAACAAUAUAAUUUUCUCUUCUAAAUCUAUAAAUUCUUAAAAUAUUCAAUCAAAUUUAUUUAAAUUUAUAAAUCAUCUUCAAAAAUUUUAAAGCAAAAAUUUUAGUUAAUACCAACACGAAAAACGAUAUUUAGUUUAAAUGUGAUUAAAGGAGACACAUAAAUACGAAAAAUAAUUUUUAAAAAUAACCAAGAUAACAAAGCAUUACAAGAUCAAAAAACAUAUGAUCAAAUUAUAAAUAAAAUGAAACACAAAAAUCUUAUAUUGUUCAAUAUACUUCAAUAAAGAUGUUUCAAUUAGACAAUAACAAUACAUUUAUUACAUUUGAGAAAAUACACUUAACAAAAAACUAAAAUAUAGAAAAUAAA